AAAAUUAGAGUGUUCAAAGCAGGCAGAUCCAAUUUUCUGCCACCGAAUACAUUAGCAUGGGAUAAUGGAAUAGGACCCUGUCCUCCUAUUUUCAGUUGGUUUUGGCAGCGCGAGGACUAGGGUAAUGAUUAAUAGGGAUAGUUGGGGGCAUUAAUAUUUAAUUGUCAGAGGUGAAAUUCUUGGAUUUAUGAAAGAUUAACUUCUGCGAAAGCAUCUGCCAAGGAUGUUUUCAUUAAUCAAGAACGAAAGUUAGGGGAUCGAAGACGAUCAGAUACCGUCGUAGUCUUAACCAUAAACGAUGCCGACCAGCGAUUAGGAGACGUUGAAUACAAAACACCACCAUCGGCGCGGUCGUCCUUGGCGUCGGUCUUUCGGGGCCGGCGCGGGGACGGCUUA
rnacentral:rRNA from 1 species